AGUAAACUAAAGUGCAGUCCAUUUUCACCUUUCCUUGUUUCCUUGUUUUGAUUUGAUUGUAAAUAAAUAAGAUCUCAUUUCAUUUGGUUUGCUUGUGUCAGGAAAAAGAAGCAAUAAUCCAUCCUGUGAGUGAGACCAUCAACACACACACCAUGUUUUACAAGGAUCACACACUAUGUCAACAGAAAACUGUAGGCAUGUUUGCAAUUGGACAAAUGGUGUAUAACAAUGAUCAUCAUCUCUAAAUUUGACAAUUGGACAACAUCAGCAGGAGGACAGCAACAACAUCAUUUUCUCAUGCAUUACAGACUAUUGUACCUAAAAGCAUCGACAAAUUCUCCCAAUUCUGUAUGUGGCGAAAACUGAUAAGAAUUGGGAGCAGCGAGGAGUACCUGGCGAGGACCAGGCAGGGGAGCAGCGAGGACCGGGCGGGGGAGCAGCAAGGAUCAGGCUGGUCAGUGCGGUUGAGAGGACCAGGUUAGUGCAGCGAGGACUAGAUUGGGAGGAGCGGUGGGGCGGCUAGGCUGGGGCAGCGGCGAUCAAAUUGGGAGCGGUGGCCACCAGACUGGGCGGAGGAGGAGGAGGAGGAGGAGGAGGUGGUGGAGGGCGGAGGAGGAGGUGGCCGGACUAGCAGCUGGAGGAGGUGGAGGGCGCAGGUGGCCUGGCGGAGGAAGACUACGAGGAGGAGCCUAGCGGAGGAAGACGAUGACUCGUUUUCAAAUCAGGGAUAUUUUUAUACAUUUGCUCGUUUUCACCUGGUCUGAAAAAUCCUCCAACAGACAACUAUUUCAG